AUUGAACGCUGGCGGCAGGCCUAACACAUGCAAGUCGAGCGAGUGGCGGACGGGUGAGUAAUGUAUGGGAAACUGCCUGAUGGAGGGGGAUAACUACUGGAACCGGUAGCUAAUACCGCAUACCAUCAGAUGUUCCCUGAUGGGAUUAGCUAGUAGGUGGGGUAAAGGCUCACCUAGGCGACGAUCCCUAGCUGGUCUGAGAGGAUGACCGGCCACACUGGAACUGAGACACGGCCCAGACUCCUACGGGAGGCAGCAGUGGGGAAUAUUGCACAAUGGGCGCAAGCCUGAUGCAGCCAUGCCGCGUGUAUGAAGAAGGCCUUCGGGUUGUAAAGUACUUUCAGUCGGGAGGCGUUACCGACAGAAGAAGCACCGGCUAACUCCGUGCCAGCCGCCGCGGUAAUAC
rnacentral:rRNA from 1 species